GAGUUUGAUCCUGGCUCAGAAUGAACGCUGGCGGCAGGCCUAACACAUGCAAGUCGAACGGAGUUAUAUUGUAGCUUGCUAUGGUAUAACUUAGUGGCAGACGGGUGAGUAAUGUAUAGGAAUCUACCUAGUAGUACGGAAUAAUUGUUGGAAACGGCAACUAAUACCGUAUACGCCCUACGGGGGAAAAAUUUAUUGCUAUUAGAUGAGCCUAUAUUAAAUUAGUUAGUUGGUGAGGUAAAGGCUUACCAAGACAAUGAUCUAUAGCUGAUCUGAGAGGAUGAUCAGCCACACUGGAACUGAGAUACGGUCCAGACUCCUACGGGAGGCAGCAGUGGGGAAUAUUGGACAAUGGGCGAAAGCCUGAUCCAGCUAUGCCGCAUGAGUGAANAAGGCCUUCGGGUUGUAAAGCUCUUUUAGUGAGGAAGAUAAUGACGGUACUCACAGAAGAAGUCCUGGCUAACUCCGUGCCAGCAGCCGCGGUAAUACGGAGAGGGCUAGCGU
rnacentral:rRNA from 1 species